rnacentral:rRNA from 1 species
GUGCCUAAUACAUGCAAGUCGAGCGAACAGACGAGGAGCUUGCUCCUCUGACGUUAGCGGCGGACGGGUGAGUAACACGUGGAUAACCUACCUAUAAGACUGGGAUAACUUCGGGAAACCGGAGCUAAUACCGGAUAAUAUAUUGAACCGCAUGGUUCAAUAGUGAAAGACGGUUUUGCUGUCACUUAUAGAUGGAUCCGCGCCGCAUUAGCUAGUUGGUAAGGUAACGGCUUACCAAGGCAACGAUGCGUAGCCGACCUGAGAGGGUGAUCGGCCACACUGGAACUGAGACACGGUCCAGACUCCUACGGGAGGCAGCAGUAGGGAAUCUUCCGCAAUGGGCGAAAGCCUGACGGAGCAACGCCGCGUGAGUGAUGAAGGUCUUCGGAUCGUAAAACUCUGUUAUUAGGGAAGAACAAAUGUGUAAGUAACUAUGCACGUCUUGACGGUACCUAAUCAGAAAGCCACGGCUAACUACGUGCCAGCAGCCGCGGUAAUACGUAGGUGGCAAGCGUUAUCCGGAAUUAUUGGGCGUAAAGCGCGCGUAGGCGGUUUUUUAAGUCUGAUGUGAAAGCCCACGGCUCAACCGUGGAGGGUCAUUGGAAACUGGAAAACUUGAGUGCAGAAGAGGAAAGUGGAAUUCCAUGUGUAGCGGUGAAAUGCGCAGAGAUAUGGAGGA